UCGGGAAUUUUGGGCAAUGGGGGCAACCCUGAUCCAGCCAUUCCGCGUGAGUGAAGAAGGCCUUCGGGUUGUAAAGCUCUUUCAGCAGGAACGAAACGGUCGGCUUUAAUAAAGUCGGCUAAUGACGGUACCUGCAGAAGAAGCACCGGCUAACUACGUGCCAGCAGCCGCGGUAAUACGUAGGGUGCGAGCGUUAAUCGGAAUUACUGGGCGUAAAGCGCGCGUAGGCGGUUUGUUAAGUCGGAUGUGAAAUCCCCGGGCUUAACCUGGGAAUUGCAUUCGAUACUGCUUGGCUAGAGUGUGGAAGAGGGAAGCGGAAUUUCCGGUGUAGCGGUGAAAUGCGUAGAUAUCGGAAGGAACACCAGUGGCGAAGGCGGCUUCCUGGUCCAACACUGACGCUGAGGCGCGAAAGCUAGGGUAGCGAACGGGAUUAGAUACCCGGGUAGUCCCUGAGCGGGCUGGCAAGGCGCAU
rnacentral:rRNA from 1 species